UAAAAAGAACAAAUUAAAAGAAGAUAAGCGAUUCCCAUUUUAAGUCUCUUUCAUUUUUCUCUCUACCUCCCAAGGGCUUCAACCUCUUAAAUCUGUCAUUUUCGGGUGGCUCGCUUUUGCCCCUUUGGGUGGGGGAAGGUCAACCUCCUUGCCGGUUGUAGGUUUUCCUCGCCAUAUCCGGUGGGGUGUAUAUAUUUGUUUUUGGGGUUGUUGUUUGUUAAUAAGCAAUUCUUAGCGUGAGGGUUUAGUUUUGGCCUAUUUUAGACGUUAUGUUUUUAUGUUAUUGUUGCUGAUAUGAGGCAUUUGAUGGCGGAUCUAGUGAUUAUUGAGUAAUUUUUGUUGGAUCUGCCUAUUAUUGUGAUUGCAUGCAGGUGAGUUGCCAUAGUUGUGAUCUUUAAUUGAGCCUUUUGCUCAAUAAAGAACUCUAUUUUAGCCACACCAAUGUGAGGAUUUUGUGAGAUUGGUGGCAGCUCGUAGAAUAGCCUAUGGUUUCCUUCCCAAAAGGCACGAGUGAGAUGCCAAAAACGCCAGUUCCUGCUCAACUCAUGGGUUGCUAAGGCCUUUGUUAUUUGGUGUUUCGCCUAAUGCGGCCUAGGCUUUACGUCAAAUUGUUUAAAUCUCCCAUCGACGAAAGUUGAAAGUUGUGGUGUUCCUUUGUUUCUCGUCUGAUGCAGUGCUGUGAUUUAAAUGAUGCCUAUUUUUGGGUUUUGGGCGGGUUACUUGCCCCAGUAAAGUCUUUUACAAGUGGGCCAGGGCCUUAUUGAGUGUGCUGAGAUUCUGAUUAGCUAGGCUUAUUUUUUAGAAUUGGGGGCCUUUUAUGUAAUGGUUUCAUUGGGUUUGGCUUUUAAA